rnacentral:rRNA from 1 species
UAAGUCAGCCACGAAUAGGCUAUCCCAACUAACGGCGGGAAAGACUCCACGGAGGGUGUAAGACCCGUGUGGGCGCGUGUUAAAGCUGUGUGGGCUCGGCCUCUUUUCCCUGAGAGUCGCGUUGCUUGAGCAUGCAGCGCUAAGCAGGUCGUAAACUCGAUCUAAGGCUAAAUAUGUCCACAGAACCGAUAGCGAACAAGUACCGUGAGGGAAAGUUGAAAAGCACUCUGGAGAGAGAGUCAAAAGACCGUGAAACCGCUCAGAGUAUAAGCCCAUGGCAGCUUGGAAGGCAUAUCGCUAGCGGGGCAUCGGUCUCCCUUCGCGGGGAGCUGGUGUUACCUUGCUUCUGUUGUGGCUCGUUAAGGUAGGGGGGUCAAGUCCACAUCCCGCCGUCGUGUGGGGGGUUCUUGGGUGUGUUGUGGUUUCUCGGUUGGCUUCGGCUGGCCGGGGGGCUCUUCGUGCUCGGUUCCUCUUUAGACACGGACGUUCAGACUCAGAGGCAAGACGCGAUAAACAGCCCACCACGGCACGUUGUGAGGUCACCCACAGGCUCGACUUUCGAUCGUGAGCCUUGACGCCGAGCAAGCACAAUGCGUGUCGCAAAGGUUCCUAACCAGGCAACGCUGCCAGGAUCGUGGAACGACACGCGCUCAAAAGUCAGGUUCGGGCGGAGACAGAGUUCUGGUAUGAUCCUCUUGUGACGAGCCGGCUUCUGGCCAAUAUCCGAUGCUCAGGUCUCCCGCAUGUGCCGCGGGAGAUCGCCUUGACGGCUCGGGA